GCGUGCAUCGUAUAGCCCGGUUAUUACCCUCGGCUUCCACCCGAGUGACUAGAGUUCGAAUCUCUAUGCCCGCACCA
rnacentral:tRNA from 1 species